rnacentral:lncRNA from 1 species
AAUGGAAAGAGAUAGCAGCUCGUGGUGUUUUACCUCGGACCUCUUGUGCUUGGCACAGGAAAUGAAAGCUUCCGUGAACAUGGCCACAGGGCUCUGCUUAUCUGGCUACACGGGACCCUGAUGACUCAGGGUGACCCGGCCAAGCAACUGUAUGAAGAGCUGGUACACGCAGGUUUCCCAAAACUAGCUGAAAAGACUCGUCAUUUCAAAAGCAAAACUGACUCAAACUCCAAGAAAUGUGUAGUUUCAUAAAUGCCUAAAGAAAUUGUAUUUACAUGAUUUUCCACUCAGCAUUCAGUUCUUUUAAUGCCAUAAAUUUCUUCUAGCAGUAGCACUGAUUUUCAACUAUGAUGAUGGUGGUGACAGGGAACUCUAACAGAUGAAAGAAGAGUAAUACCAUGAUACUUUUCAACCACUAAAAAGUCAAAUAUAGUUUUUUUUGCUGAGGGCAAGUUGUAUGUGAUUUUCCCAUUUCUAUCAAUCAUUUGAUGUAAUCCAUGUAAUAAGAUAAUCUAGGACGGUUUUGUAUGUCAUGUUUUUUUAAAAAACUCAUGGGAGCAGC